GAUGAACGCUAGCUACAGGCUUAACACAUGCAAGUCGAGGGGAAACGAUAUUGGAAGCUUGCUUCCGAUAGGCGUCGACCGGCGCACGGGUGAGUAACGCGUAUCCAACCUGCCCAUCACUUGGGAAUAACCUUGCGAAAGCAAGAUUAAUGCCCGAUGUUCCGCGUUUGCCGCAUGGCAAAUUCGGCAAAGAUUUAUUGGUAAAGGAUGGCGAUGCGUCCCAUUAGUUAGUUGGCGGGGUAACGGCCCACCAAGACGACGAUGGGUAGGGGUUCUGAGAGGAAGGUCCCCCCACAUUGGAACUGAGACACGGUCCAAACUCCUACGGGAGGCAGCAGUGAGGAAUAUUGGUCAAUGGGCGAGAGCCUGAACCNGCCAAGUAGCGUGCAGGAUGACGGCCCUAUGGGUUGUAAACUGCUUUAUAAGGGAAUAAAGUGGGUCUCGUGAGACUUUUUGCUAUGUACCUUAUGUAAUAAGGACUGGCUAAUUCCGUG
rnacentral:rRNA from 1 species